CCAAUGCAUGACCACUCUUUCAGAGAAUUUUGUCCUAAUAUCCAACCUGAACCUCCCCUGGUGAAACUUAGGGCCGUUACUUCUUGUAAUCUUCCCUUUCAGAUUGAUGAAAUGCGUGUUCCUGAUUCACUCUCUUAGCCUGCCUGAAUGCCUCACUGCAAUAGUCAAAAGUUAGCUGAGUCUUCAUUUCUUGAUAGCCUCCUUGGGCUUGCUGCGGGUAAAUGCAGGGUACCAGCCAUACCGUGGGAAUGGCUGAGACAAACCAUCAGCAUGCAGCAAUGCAGUUCAAAUUGGGUGAGGUAUAAGGGCUGCCCUGCUGCAAAGUUUAAGCUGCUGUGUUCCCAUGGGUAAACUACUCAGUCUUUAAGCCUUUGAAAACCUCUUUCCACAGCAGCAGAGAAGGGCUGGAGCUUAGCAGCUUAAUAUGCCAAGGACUCCAUUUGGAGUCUAAUGGACUGCUCUUGGGGAAGAAUUGGGUUUGCAGGGAGAUAAGUUGUCUCACUUUGCCCCACUUUGAAACACUUUCAUUUUCUGCAAGAACCUGGAAAGAGAUGAAGAACUGAAGGAAGAGUACACAUAUAGCAAGGACAGUCUCAUGUUGAAGUGCAUUAACCCUCAAGAAAGUUAGAAUCUCUGCUCCACGGUUGCCAUGACUUUACCUGGAAAUUCAGACCACAGCCAGAGUGAUACAGAGACUGCAAUAUUUCUGGGGCAGCUUAACUGAAAUUUGACCCAGUACUCACUACAGAAGCAAGAAGAAUAACCAUGAUGGUACCUUUCAGAGUUUUCUCAUGAGGACAAAGGGCAAAGGAAAUAAAAACAUUACCCCAUUUGCAGAAUGAACAAUUCAGGUUUUGGUGUCAGAAGAAUACCUGACAUCUCCCACCUCCAGUGUCAACACAAUGCAUUUCAGGGACAUCUUGUGUGAAAUGUUUUCUACAGAAAAUUAAAAAAAGGAGUUAGUACAAAACAAUGGUGGUGUUUAUUGGUAGUAGUGCUCAAGAAAAAGGAACAAACAAAACAAAACGAAGCUUCACUGCUCUUUGAGCUAAGAAGGUAGAAGCAGAUAUUUGAUUACUUCAAACAGAUUAGGGGUGGAUUGUGUCCCUGGAUUAUCAUCUCCAUAGGAACAGAGAUGAAAUGGCAAAAAAAAAAAAGAGAAAAAAAGAAAGUAAGUGGACACAUAACCAAUUAAGAACAUACAAGGCAAAUAUGAGAGGCCAGAUGUUGCUGAUAGUGUAGAACAGUGUCCCUGUUUGAAAACUUACCGCUUCAGGAUUGAAAAGAUUUUCCCUUAAAUGGAAAAAAAAAUCAGCCUUGAACCUGAUGUAUUUCAGCUUUUAUAGUUCAUCAGGAAAUGGCAGUUUUAGGUCAUCCAACAGAGCUAGCAAGUAGUAAAUGAGUAAGCAGUUUGAAAAGAAUCAAAGAAUAUACUGAAGGCAAAUCUUUCCAAGAAUACUCAGCAGUAAUAUUGCUUAUUGCUUUGCAGUAAAUCUCAGUGCAGCCACUCAGCUGUCCUCCUCAACAUAUCACUGCUCUAAAGUAAUUACAUCACUAAAUGAGCUUUUGAAUAAAAAGAGAAAGGUUUACUGGAGAUGACAGAGAAAGUGGAAAAUUCACUGGUGACUUUUGUAUAUCUUGUUUGAAUUCACUUGAAACAAAUCCUGGCUCCAUUUGUUGGUGGUGCGUUUUUUGUGUUUGGGUUUUUUUUUUUAAUUAUUAUUUAUUUAUUUUGCUUUCUUUCCCCCUUAAAAGCUUAUUGCAAAGUGAUUACUGCAAUAUGGCAGUUCUGAAUAACCCAUCUGGAUUGAUUUGGUUCUGUGGGCUUUCCCAAAACUAUUCAUUUCACUUUGCCACAGUUGUAAUGUGCAUAUGCCUUGCUGAAAAAAAUUUGUCAUUACCAUUUUCAGUGAGGUACCCAGAAUGAUCCUAACCUUGAAUUUCUGUGUGGUAAUACUGUGCUUGUAUGUCCAUCAUUAAAUAUGGUGAGCUAGGUUAGAGUUCCUGUUCUUUUAUGUGGAUUAACUAUCAUUUAUCAGCCCUAAAUACCAUCAGUCUUCUAGCACUGUGAAUUUCCUGCAUCUCUACAUAGCAGCUUUAGACUUAACUAUCCCAAAUAAUUGCAUAUCCUCUGCACAUUUUUUUCCUUCACUAUUUACCUCUUUUCCUUUAUCCUUUACAAAUAUGCUGAGCAUGACAUGUCCAACCACAUAUCCCUUGAGACUUUCAGUUAACUGUUGCAGUAUUCAUUUGCUAAUAAAUGUGGUUACAGCAGGAUAGAGACAAAGAUUAUUUUUCUUGAAAGAGGGAAAACUUUUGCAGCAUUUGCUGAAGACCCCUUUUUAAAAGUCCAAAUACAUUUUGUGUCAUAAUACUGUAGUUGGAUGUCCACCAUUAAACACAGAGAAACAGAUUAGAUUGGUUUUGCCUUACUAACAAACUGAUACUUUCAAAGAACACAUCAUUUCACAAGAUGUAUGAAAUUUCACCUUUGGCUAUCUGUAAUUUCAACCAUAAUAUUAAUUUCAGUCUUUAUUACAGUUCUUCACCAAUCUGGUUGUUGCCAGUCCACCAUAACCCAUUUGUUCUUCCCAUGAUGAACCGAGUCACCCUCUGUGACACUUGCACUGUACUCUUCUCUAUUUCUCUGAUUCUCAGGCUGGGUCAAGUAGUAGAUUAUUUGACAAGUAGUUCAGUGAGUCCACAAAUCUGAAAACCUUUUGAAAAAUAGCAUCUCUCAGAGGUUUGUUUUCAGUUUAUUGUUGACAGUUCCAGUUGACACAAUUCUCUGCCAUCCUCUUCUCCUCUCUUAUGUAUUAGUGAUAACUUCCCCACCUUCCUGGGGAUAUGUGAGGAUAAAAGGUUUCCUCGUUUUCUAUACAUUCAUUGCCUGUUCAUCUUAGUUAAGCUUCUCAGUAUAUUUGAAUUUUUUAUUAUUAGCAUUUAUGUCUUUCUGUUAUGUCUUUACCAAGUUGGCCCUUGUAUCUUUUCUUUCACAAUUGAUAUUUGAUAUUACAAUACAAUAUCACAAUUGAUAUUUGAUAUUACAAUACAAAAUCACAAUUGAUAUUUGCUACAACCCAUUAUCAUAUCCUCAAAUGAAUAUUGCUUCUGCUUUUAAGAGUGUGGAUUUUUUCACUUCUAACAAUCUCCUUUAAACUUCUGUUCAGUGAUGGUAGCUUUGUGGUGUGGGAAUAGAACUCUUAGGGCCUAAGUUUCUAGGAUAAUAAGUUUAAGAAGCAUUUUAUCUCAUUAUCUGCUCCUUUUAAAUGUCUCUAUAACAAGCUUCUUCAUUUUAGAGUAACUUUUCCUUUUCAGUGUUAGUGCUCAGAGCUACCAGCUGCUUGUCCUCUGCUCUGUUGACAGUUUGCCCACAGAGCAGGCAUGAAUGUGUGACUUCAUCUUGAAAUUACAUUCACCCGGGGUAUAUGAGGUGUCUGAUAUCUCCCAGUGCUGCUCUCCAUUUUUUGCCCUGAUUUGCACCCUUCCAAAAUGAUUUUUAGCUCAGCUUUCCAGACCUCACUCCCACUGACAAGGCUGUAGGAGGAAGGCAAACUGCACCAGGAAAUGUUCAUCUUACUAAGUUCUCUACAAAUCAUCUCCACGAAGUGAGACAAGCUUGAAGGGCUGCAGAUUGGAGGGCAGAUGACCCAAGUAUCCAGCGACUUUAUCUUUCUUGACACUGCCAGAAAAGACCUUCUCUCCCCUGUGCUUCCCAUGCACAUCAUCGCUGCUGCACUCACCUGAUGCUCUAUUGUAGCCUCAAAGACUCUUGCAGGAAAAAGCUACUCAGUUCAUGUAGUUCGAAUCAAUUCAGGGGAGAAGAUGUUUAAUAAUGUAAGGACACACAAUUAACUGAUAAUCAAUGGAUUAUCCAUUCAGGACUAAUGCAUACCACACUCUACAACUAGUUGAACCCAAUACAUAAAAGGCAGACAUCUCAUCUUUUGUUUUCAGAGCUAGUUCUUUGGUAAACUCUGCAAGCUCUUAAAUGACAAAAAUCUGUUGUUCUUUAUUGUUUGUUUUUAAUUUUUUUUUCUUAGUGGUAGAUAGCAUUCAUAAAAGUCUAUGAACCCAAAUGGAGACACACAAAAAGAGGAUUCUCAGAUUCUCUUUCACAUAAUUGGUCCAUAACACAGAAGUUCAAGAAGACAAGUGGCUGAAAAGGUAAUAAAGAUUCUGUGAUGUGUAAACACUUGGGUCAGUUAUUAUCAUAAACCACAAGGUUUAUGUGGUUUCUGACAUGGUGCUUUAUGGUAAAAAUUGUUAGUAGGCUGAAAAUGAACUUCACAUCUCUUGCACACAGCAGCUUACUCCAAAGCUGCCUCAUAUUUCUCUAUGCACUAAAGCAGAGAAGAACCUGUUAGGCUCUAGAGAGCCCUAACUUCUUGAAGUUAGACCACUACCUGAAGAGAAUUGGCUGAAGAAGGCUGAAGGCAGCAGCAGCUAACAGUGAAAGGAAAAGAAAGUAUUAAGCUAGCAAAAACAAGACACUUGAAUGUCAGAACUUGUAAAACUAAUUACAUUAGCAAAUAAGGUACGCUGUGAAGCAGGAAACAAACAUAUUCUUUGUAAUCAAGUUUUCUCUCCACUUCUAAAAAAUAAUCAGUUUGAUGAAAUGCAAGAGGGACAUUUAUCUUCUUUCUUUACAAGAUGCCGUGUGAACUGCUCUCUCCUGCCAAUUAGUAUUGAUCUUAUUCACUUUAUGUUUCCUUUCUAACAGUGAGGUAAUAGAAUCUGACACAUAAUUUGCUGAAAUAAUUUUUCAUUAGACUGCACCAGACCUUGUCAAUAUCUUGAGAUGCUAGGCAGUCCAUUGUAACAGUAUCUAGUAGUGUUCAUUUAAUAUCUCUAUAAUAAUAAGUUAGUCUGCAAAAUAAGUAUGCCUAGGGAAGGUUUUUGGUGUUCAAAUUUCUAGUAAAGUUGAGUGGCAUAUAGCUAGAUGCAAACACAAGAUGACAAUUUGCUUUGACACCACGAUGAUAUUUGGUCUGGUUUUGAAUUGCUGGUUUUGGGGUGUUUUUGUUGUUGUUGUUGGCUAGCUGCCAACAUUCACUUUUUGACCUGUGUGCUUCUGCAUUUUCCUUUUUUUUGACUCACAAGGGUUGUAAUUCCAACACAUUAAAAAUAAAUCACAUUGAAUAAUUGGUUUGAUCUUCCAGAUCUUCCAAGCUGAAGAUUAAUGCAGAGGUGAACAAUGCCUUUUUUCUUCUCCUUUUUCAAAGAUUUCACUUAUACUUUGUCCUUCUUUGCACACUUGUCUUCCUCUAGUUCUGCCUUUUGUUUUCUAAUCAGUAUGUAAGCCCUCCAUAGACAGAAAUUCUCCUUUCUUAGAACAGGACAGUGUCUCAGCCACGCUGUAGAACUGGAAAUCAAAUAGUGGAAAACAAUAUUCUUCAUAUGAAGCCAAGCUGGUUUUUGGAGAAUAGGUAUGACAGUCAACUUCUAACUUCACUUUGCUUGGUGAGAAUGGUUUGUGCAUUUCAAGAAGCACCACAGAGAAAAACUUUUAAAGUCCUCCAGGACCAGCAUGAUCUCUCAGAAUUAGAAAAAUGUAAAGCAAUUCAAGAAUUCCUUUGAAUUAUUCACAUGGGACAAUACCUUGGUGUGCUGAAGCAGACUGAAUGACUAAACACAGCCAUGAAAAUAGAUUACUGGAGUGUUUCAACAGGCAUGUGCACAGCCUUAAUGACCCUAAAUGACCGGUCUUAACUGGUCCAACUGGUCCUUAGAACUGAUGAGGAAACAGGCAAGCAAGCAAAAUACCUAAGUAACAUUUUUGUUGAACUUUUGAAGAUACCUAGGAACUACUAAAACAAGCCAAGAGAAAUAAAACUGGAAUUGGACCUCAGUUCUCAUGGUUAUCGCAAAGCAUGUGCUGAAGUGGUUAUUCUGAAGGGCUUUUUUGGAAAUUGCACAACAUCAGAUCAUCCAGCGGAAAAUGCUUUCAGGCCUGGAGCAUGAGGUGAGGAGUCAACUGAGCAACAAAGUACACUUCUGAAUGACUUGAUGGAGCCUGACUCACUAACAGAAAAAUAUUUUGUAAAUUUGAUAUUAGAUGUUUUAUGGAUGGCACUUUCAUAGUCAUAUAUGUGAAAUGAAGGACCUGGUAGGCACUGGAUUCAUUAUGAGUAUUAUGUCUGUGAAAGAAGAGCUACUUGUUGCUUAGCUUUGGUAGCUUUAGCUGAGGAUUCAGCAGAUGACCACAAUGUGCCUUUGCAUACCUGAAAAAACUUCAGAUGGAUUACAGAGAAAACAGAGCUCAUGGUUUUAUUUACAGUGUUGUUCUUGGAGCAGAUUGGCAGAAGUGCUCACAGAGAAAGAUCUGCAGGACAUGGCUAUUUUGCCUGUCCUGAAUGAAAGGGUUCUGCUGGGCACUGCCUAUAUCAUCCAGUUUGUGCAAGAGCUGAGCAAAUGAAAUUUUGAACAACUGUUCUUUUCCUGCAAGAAUGUUGUUGCAAGAGAUCCUGCUUUUAAAUUC